CUGCUGAUGGAAACAUCACCUUUGAACCAAUGGGAAGCCACUCUGAGGAACAUGUUUUUAUUUCAGCUUUGGAAUCACUGUCUAGGAAUAAAUAAGAGGGUUUGGGGCAUUCAGCAGAUCAUUGGGGAGCACACUGCAGAGUCUCAUCUUCACUCACGUUUUUCAUCCCCUCAAUUUGCACAGCAGGGGCACUGAUUUGUACUCACAGCAGAACUGCUUUCUGUUUAUCCAAACCCAAAUAUAAAUAUUUCCAUAAAGAUAAAAUUUUAAUGCAGGGCUUUAUGACAAAAGCUGUUAUUUGCAGGCUGCCAAUAACAAAUCCAUGCUGCUGUGGUUUAAAUGGAAAAAUUUAGAGCUGAUUAUAAAAUGUUGUAAUCAGGUGCAGCUAUGAAGAUAUGAUAAUACCAGAACUGGAGACAGAAGGUCCUGUUGGGGAUAAAGAAGCAGAGUGAAGGAGUGGAAGCCAAACCUAAAAGUGCACAGCCAGUGUCUAGCGUGGCAACACCAUCAGAAGAGCAUUAUGAGCUGCAUGCUGUUACAGAAUGUGGCAGAGUGGCACAUUCAGCAUGCAGGGCUGGUGAGAGCAGCAGUGGUCAACAAAGCAGUGUGUAAGAAACCCUCUUCCUAUUUCCAAUCAAAAGUGGAGUGCAUUUCCUCCUUUUUUAGAAUGGGAUGGAAAUGGGAAUGGGAAUGGGAAUGGGAAUGGGAAUGGGAAUGGGAAUGGGAAUGGGAAUGGGAAUGGGAAUGGGAAUGGGAAUGGGAAUGGGAAUGGGAAUGGGAAUGGGAAUGGGAAUGGGAAUGGGAAUGGGAAUGGGAAUGGGAAUGGGAAUGGGAAUGGGAAUGGGAAUGGG
rnacentral:lncRNA from 1 species